CGACGGCGACGCGCCCCCAGCCCCGCGCCGGGCGGACGAUGGCCGCCUGCCAAGCCGCUACCAUGCGGCUCUCCAGGGAGCCGGCGCGGCUCAGCCCGCCCAGCAGAGAGGCGGAGAGGUGCUGUAGGACGGAAGGGGGCAGCUGGGGGCCCAGCAGGCAAAGGUAGCCCAGUGCCAGGGCCAGCAGGCCCACGCACACAGAUCGCUGCCACAUCGCGCGGCCCUUCCCCCGCCACGUCUGAGGGGGAGGAAGGCGGGAGGGAAGGACGCGGGGGCCUUCCUUACGCCGCCUCCGUAGCGCCCCGCCCCCGCCGGGCCCCGGCUGUCGUAAAGCCGCUUCGGGAAUCGGGGCGGGCUCUACGCGAAGUGCGCAGUCUCCCUACGCUGUUUGCGUACCGUGGUGAGGUGCGGCUGCGCUGCGGGCGCGGCUGAGCUACGGGAAUAAGCGGGAAGAGCGAGCGCGGCGGUGCUUCGUGAGGGGAAAUGGCGGGAGGAGCAGCUCCCUCACGGCCGUCAGGGCCUCCUCAGGGCGUUCUGGGGCCGUCCGGCCUGGGGGAGCCUGGGCCCCGUCCGCGGGGAGCGAGUGCUGUGGUGUGGAGACCGAGGGGCCUGUGGAGAGCGCUGUCCUAGUGCCCUUGUAAGGGCUUGGUUCUCACAGGGCUGAGUCCCGCGGGUGGAGCUGCGCUCGUUUUCACCUUCCUCACGCCGCCCUUCCUCCUCUGUCCCUCGUUGCCCAGCACCUCUUUGGGUUCAUGGGCCGUAUUUCUGCUCGGUGUUCAUCCUUUUCCUCAGUGGCGCAGCUCACGAUCUCAGCCCUCCCCGCCGGGCUCCGCACGGAGCGCUGCCCGUGUUGGAAGCAGAGCUGUAAGAGGAGAGAGGCGGCCCUCCGUGAGCGGAGAUUGCCGGGCUGCUGGAAGCGGCAGAAACAUCAGCUCUGAGGCUGCCGACGAAACGUGCGGGAGUUUGACAGCUGCGUGCCGCGGUGCGUUGGCUGAGGGCUGAUAAUUCCCUUAGUCAGCUCUGUGUUGUGAAUGAUUGUCACUUUCUCCAACUCCGACAAAACAAACAGUAAAGGAGACGGGGUGGCGGAAGGCUUUUUGGCUUUUGUCAGCGGGCCUUUCCAUUUCACUAGUUUACCCUUUUUCCCUUUGGCCCUUUUCCUGCUCCUCUAUGUGCUAUAAAAUCUUGCUGCCGUAUCCCUGGGCUCCCCAGGUGCAGCCCUUGGUUAAUGCUGCGCUGCUGGAGGACUCAGCCAACACUGCAGGAGCCCCUCACUGCUCAGUGCAAUCAGGUCUUCACCUGUGGGAGCGUGUGUAUUUAUAGGCUUGUCACAGAACAUCAUAAUUAGAGUGCCCAUAAGGCACCUGCAGCGCUGACACAGCUCAGGGACUCCGUGAUUAGUGCUGUGCUAUCAGAGGGUCGGGCAGCAAGCAGAUAACCCAUCUAAUAGUGUAAUACGUCAGGGGAAUUAGCCAUGAUUCCAAUUUGGGGUGGUUGGUUUUUCAUCUGAUGCUAAUGCUGUGUUCUGUGUUGCUGCCCUGAAGCCUAAGUUGUCUUUUUUGUUCCCAGAACAGGUACACUUUCCACGUUAAACCUGCCUGGGAGGAACCAGUGCUGUUUGGUCUCUGCAAACUGCUGACGUUCCGGCUCUGUGACCAGUUUUGUCAGUGGACUUGAAUGAGGCUGCAAAGACUUGCCAGUGAAAGCAGAGCUUGCAUCUGCUUGAUGUCUUUGGAUCAAGUAAUCUGCCAGCCAAAGCAGUCUCUUCUUGCCUGCUUCCAAGAGGCAUGAGCUUAAACAACUGGUCUCAGAGUGGGGUAUAUCUACAGUCUUAGCUGUGAAGAAAGGAGAUGAAAUGUUCUCCUGUUCAGUGUAUGUGGAAGAGACUGGAGCUGAGUUGCUAUCUUCGUAACAGUAAAACUACAGCGAGAUCUGAAUUCUUUGUUCAUGUUUCAUCGCCUGCUUUGAGGCAAGCAGUGGUGAUGAGUUCAGACAUCAGCCGUAGGGUGAGUACAGAUACCACCCACACCAGCUCCACCAGCAGACUGCAGACUGUAUCUGGUUCCUCCGUUCCUGUCUGUCCCUCACAGCCCUGCCGCAGGCCCUAAUAGAUGUAGAAGCCUUGUUAUACAGGACUCAGGCCCAGGGAUGGCAUGCUGCUGUUGCUGAGCAGUGCUGGCGAUGAUGACCUAAAGUGGUUUUGAUGAGAUUCAACACCAGGUGCUCCUCAUUAGAAGGUCUCAGCAACACUGUGCCAGUCUGAGCAAGAAACGUUCUCCCUCUUCUUCCACUGAGCAGGAGACAGCUGAGCUGUCCAGCAGACAACUCGGUGCUUUCCCGCACCUUUGCUACCAGUUUUUGAAGGUAAUGUGAUGACUGUGCUGCUCCAGCACUACAAACACUCAUCUUUCUGUGGAAAAAAAGUGCAGUCUUUGGAAGAUGUACUAUAACUGGCAGCUGAUUUAUUGCGUGAGAUUCCAAGUAAGGAAAGAGUGAAAACAGCACGAGAGUGGCUUUUUCUCUCUUUUAGUCCCGGAUUUAAAUUGGUUGCUGGGGCAGCAUUCAUUUCUUGGGUAAGAGGGAAUCUUUUGGAUUGAGGUUUCCGCAACCUUUUAGGGGUGUCCACCACCUGUGCUUGGGUUUAGAGUACACAUUAAAAGGUGACCCACCCAUCUGACAGUAUACCCAGGUGCCACGUUUACUGAUUUCUCUGCCACCAAGAAGCUGAACCACAAAUCUCCAGACAUCUGUCAUCACUAACAGAAGGGCACAAAUAUUAAAAUGGAAACCAUAAAGUUGAAUACAUCAAAGAUACAACCAGAGAAGAAAUAUGGGAUCCUUCUGUAGCAGGCAUAACUCAUUCGCAUUGCCAAUUCAAAAUCAGCCAUAGCAGGAGAAUUUAAUGAUACCAUUGUGUAGAGAAAUUAGACAUGACACUAGCCAGUUACCUUCCAUUUUGGUCGGUUAGGAUUUGCUCUUGUUUGACACUCAUUAGAAAUCACAGUAACCUGCUUUCAGGGCAGUCAAAUUAAGGUUUCCUCUCUCUGUACAAGAUUACUCAUCACACCACAGCUACACGAUAAUUGGAAAAUAACUAGUGAAUGAGUACACCUACAGAAGCUGUCAUCUGAGCAUGUCAGUAACGUACUCGAGGUGAUCCUGUAAAGAAUUUGGUUGUACACACAACACCUAAGAAAAAACAGUUGCAGGAAAUUAAUGCUACAUUAACUUAUCAGAUGCAAAAAUUAUUAUUAAUCCUUAAUCAUUCUGGUAAUUUCUUUACAGGAAUUCACCUGCCCUUUUGUUUCCUUUAGUGCCUCUGGCAUGAGAGCACGUGGUUUUCUGCCUGAACCUCAGCCUCAGCUAUUCUUUGUUCUGAGAGGUACAGUGCUUGCUGGGGAGUUUGAGAGGCUUUGUAGUGGUUGUGCUCACAUUAGCAAGCAGCAAGGUGCAGCAGGGGCAGAUCUGGGGAAUGCAACAUUUGGUGCUGGUCUGCUAUGUGCAUUCUGGGGGGAUCCGCUAGCUCUGGUCCGGCCCCAUGACUUGGAACAUUCAGUAGCAACUGGGACAGCUAGGUGAGUUUUUGGAGCACAUCUUGUCAUUUAGUUUUGUCUGAAAGGAAUCUAGUUCUGCAGCAUGGACCUACAUGCAGUAAGGUCAGUAGUCAUCUUGGAAGGGCUGUCCUAGCCCUGAAUAAAACACAAGCCCAUUCAAAUGGAGAGGAGUCUGGAGGAAGCCCAUCAGACCUGCAUCUCGUUGCAGGAAAUGGCUAAGGAAGGUUAAUCUGAACAUGCACAGCCUGUUUUGUUUUUUUUGUAAUGUGUUUGCUCUGAAAUGCAUUUUGUUCUGGGGAAGCCCUACUUUGCAAUCAGGAAGUUGCUUGUUCUGUGAUGAGCAUUGCUGCUGCCCCAGAGGGAGGGGGUGGCACUGUCUGGAUGGACUUCAGAUCUACUGAAGGAACUUGCUUUGGUUCUCCACCCAAGAUCCAGUCUACAACAGGAAAAGUUGCCUGAUUCCCACUGUAGACUUUGGAUUUAGGAGCUAAGAGAUGAUAUGCAUGUGGGGCAUGUCGGGCUGGUCCCAAGUAUAGUUCACCCUGCAGCUGUGACAAGUUUCCAGCCUCAAGUUGUCAGGAAGAUGUGCAGGUAAGAUUAGCAUUAUCAGUUUAUUCUCUUCAGUGCAUUUUUUUGUUUGUUUGUUUUAAUUGGAAAAUACACUCCUUGUAUCACACUGCCCAACUCUGCGUGUUCCCUGCAUAUUCAAACAGAAGAUGAAUUUUCAUUUUUGACAGUUCAGCUUACAAAACCGAGAGAGAGAGAGAGAAGAAAGACCCUUCUGCAUCAGUGUGAUGAUUGAUCACUUUUUAUUUCUGCUCAGAUGCCAGGUCUGGAUUUGAAAUAGAAAAGUAAUAUACUGUUUCAUGGAGUUACGUGGGGAGGGGGCCCUGGAGGAGGAAUGCAGAGUGCUGUUAGACAGGGCUGGAGAGAUCAGACAGGCACCAGGAGAACAAAAGCCGCCCCUGUUAGAGAUCUGGGAGCUGGUGCUGGAUGGAGUGGGGUCUCCUGCUGCUUUCUGCUCACUGUUGCUGCGGCCAGGCUGGCAUCACUGUGCAGGGAGAAAUGCAGGCAAAGUGCUAAUCUAUCGAAACAGAAGGACAGACUUAGCUUGAGAAGAUGAGCAUGCUGAGCUGGUUUCUGCUCUGUUACACCAUGAAACCUCACUGAUAUCUGUAGAGCUCCCCAGCUGUAACUAGGAGCAGACAGGGGUUCUUUAUGCAUUUUCUCCAGAGCCAAACUGGUGAGGAUUUUGUGAGAACUGGAGAAAUUGAUACUGAGAUUUUCAGCUCUGCAGGAGGGAAUCUCUGUUUGCUUAAUUUGGGAAGAGACGGUCGUAUAACUUACAGGACAAAAAGCUUAAGCAGUGGAAGCAUCCCCCAGAGCAUAGUGUAGAGUUGGAGGCAGAUAGGAAAAGUCUUUCAGGCUGCCCGAGUCCUCCUGCAAAGCUUCCUUCACUCCCUCAAAUACAGAGAAACACCCACUCCAAAUGUGUUGUGCAAGAACACGACGCUGGGACCAGCUGGGCUUAAAACAACCCUGUUUUGUCUAGCUGCCUGUAUAAUUUCUCCCAAAAGGCAAAUGAAAGAGUGGCUUCUGGAAAACAGUUAAUCCUGUAAUUUCACCUCGUUCUCUGGCAAGCGCUUCCAUUACUGAAUGGCCUUCACUUCUGUUUCUGUUAGGUGUUCUUUCAAGGUGAAAUUUCUAAUUUCCAGCUUUUUGCAGUUGUCUUAGAAAAGGCACCAUCGUAUCCAAAAGCCCUCUCCCACACUCACCCCACAGUUGCCUUUGCCCAUACAAGUGCCCAUAGCAGAAAUCAGGUCCCUUCUCAGCUACAUCUUUGAUGAGCCAGCAGGGCUGGGCUCCUGCAGAAGCACACAGCACACAGCUCCUGGGUCAUUCUUUUCUCUUUGCCUGAAUCACUUCUUUAUUAUCUCUUUCUCCUUCAAGGAUGGCACAGAGACUGGACACAGCUUUCCAGCAGACAGUCACUGGUGCCAUGAACAAGAAGGAAUGCUCCCUGCUGGUGUUUGUGACUGCCCUUUCCGUGGAGGGAUCAGAGGAGUCUUUCUAUGCAGCUUGUGCUUGUCCUCUAAAUUCUUUUCAAGGCAACUGCUUUCCGAGGCCGCAUCCUGUAAGUGUAACCUGCAUUUCUGGUUUCAGAUGCCUUACCUUGCGUUUGACUUUUUAAAUCUUAAGGCAAGUUUUCCUGGACUGUGGCCAGUUCUCAGCCACUCCAGAUCGCUGUGUAUUGAUAGUCCAGUCGGGCUUGUUGUUUCCCUACUGCCAGUCUUGUUGGCAUCUGCAGACUUGGCCACAACAAGGAUUUCUAUAGUGUCAUGUAGAUCGCUGAUAAAAAAUACAGAAUGAAAAAUGGUAAUAGGAUUUUCACUCUUCUUUUAUCCCAGAUAUUUUUGCCCAGUGUAAUAUUGCUGCGCAUUUAUUGGAUUGUGGCUACUGGAACAUCCAGUAAAUACGCCUUUGAAGAACAGCCAGUUUCUAGAAAUGCUUUCCAUCUUGAACAUAUAUUGCCAGUCCUUUAUGCCGACAGCUGAUGUUAAGGCUUGGGAAAAUAGAAAUGUUAAAUGCAAAGGUGUGUGCCUCACUGCCUGGUGCCAGAUUGUUUGCACAAGUGUAACCAGAUCAUGCCCCAAGGCAUCCAGGGAACUUGCUGGGUUUUAGAACUGCAGUUAAUUCUUCUUUGGCCUUCAGAGGUCCAGUAGAAGGUUUCCCCCUGUGGACUGCAGUGUUUUCUGGGCUGAAGGCACUGUUAUUUCAGAAGACCUUUUGUUCCUGGUUGUAUGGCAUGUCUGGGAGCUAGCUGCUGAGACCCACUACAGUAACACAGCUUUGCUUCCUGCAGUGCUGGGAAGUGGAAGUGACAUCCAUGCCACGUGUCCUCCCAGUGGUGGUGCCCACCUCAUCAGUAUGAAUACACAUUUUGAAAGCUUCUUUUCUUGCAGAGAGGCCACUUACCAGCCUACAACUCAGUGGGGAGCAGGGCUACUCUGAUUGCCACAGAGUGAGCUGAAUCUGCAAGCUUCUGAGCAUGAGUUGCACACAGGUUGGUGUUAGUGCUCCCAGCGAUGCAGGAUCUGUUCUGCAGUGCUCAGGAUGUCGGUCAACACUGGCUCUGAAACUAAGGGAGUUUCAGGCGCCAACGUGGCAGAAAGAUCAUAGAAUCAUAGAAUCAUUAAGGUUGGAAAAGACCCACAGGAUCAUCCAGUUCAACCAUCCGCCCUUCACCAAUGGUUCCCGCUAAACCAUGUCCCUUAACACAACAUCCAAACGCUCUUUAAACACCACCAGGCUCGGUGACUCCACCACCUCUCUGGGCAGCCCAUUCCAGUGCCUGACCACCCUUUCAGAGAAGUAGUAUUUCCUAACGUCCAGCCUGAAUCUUCCCUGACGCAGCUUGAAGCCAUUCCCUCUCGUCCUAAAUGAUACCCCUGCCUCAAGUGCUUUGGGUUGUUCAGGACCUCUAGCCCAGUGCUCAUUUAGAUCCCAGGUGAUGAGGGUUGCAAUUCAUUUCCAAAUAUCACUUUAAAUCUCUAAAGUAUAUCCAGCUAUACUUUACUUUGGGAGGUGUUGCUGGCAAGGAGGCUGUACUUACUGCAAUGCUUCCUGAGCGGAGAGGUGUCACUGCUGCAGGUGAGGACAGAGGCAGCUCUUCUGACAGCAGCUGUGUAGCAAAUCUCUACAGACAUGGUAUCUCAAAGUCUCCGAACUGCUCAGAGUGCCCCAGCCAAAUAUCCCCAGGCUGGUACAGCAGAGCACAAAGGAAAUAGUUGAUAUUCAGAUCUCGAGCUACACAGGACCUGAAAGCACAGGCACAUUUGUACCUCUGGGGAAAGAAGUACGAGGAAGGGGGACAGCCUUUCACACAGAAACAGGAGCUCUUACUUGCAGAGCUAGAGGCAGAACAGUCAUCAUUAAAAGAAGGUGACGUGGCCUUCAUGCGCUGCUCUGGUUUACAGACCCGUGGGUCCUGAACUCACGGUGGGGUUGGCUCAGCACAGCGGGCUAUGAUGGAGGACUAUGGCUGGGGAGCUCUGGCACUGCCAGUGGGAAAAGGUCAUGCAAAAUAACAACAGAUAGUCCCUUUGACAGGUGUUGAGGAAUAUUUCUGAAUAAGCAUGGUAUCUUCCAAAUGCUUGAUCUCAGUUAAAUGCUGAUUGCUCUUGGCAUGAAGACAGGAGAAAAUGAAAAGGCAACUGAAGGUAGCUCUCUCUCCAUUCAGUUCACUGCAACAUGGGAAAGCUGUAGGCAGCCCUUCGCCUAUCUCUCUCUGCUUUUCAUUAUUUUUUUUUUUUAUAACCAGAAAGAAGAACUUUAUUGACUUUAUUCAUCUCCUGUCAGACGCCCAAUCAUCAUCUGGCAAUACAGCAGAUUCCAGAAAGUGCUGAUCUAGUGAGGCCCAGUGGUGCAGGAGGUGCUAAGGGAAGGUCUCCAGCAUCCUCCAAUCCCUGGCUGCCCUUUUAAUUAUCCAGGCUGAUGGAGGGUGUGCGUCCCCGCCUCGCCCAUGCUGGUGUUUCUGGUCUUGAGAGCUCUGGAAGCGAUGCUGUCAGGUGUAACAAGCCAGAGGCAAGUUCUGUUCUGUUCGGAGAUUAGCCCAUGUGCAGCUGAUCCAGCAGGUCCGACAGGUUCCCUGUCAGAUCCUGGGCUCCCAUGGCACAUCCCUUGAGCCCACUCUUCCCACACAGGCCCGCCCUGGCUUCUCCUGCAGGUAUGGGUGGCUUGCUGUGCACUAAACCAUGGUACUGGCCCUUCUACAUCUUGAUUUUCUGUGCUCCUACCUCCAGCUAGUUGGUCAGGGCAGUUCCUCCCUCAUCUCUGCUUGGGUCUGCUCCCCAUAUUUAGGUCUUUUUCCACUUCUCCCACCUUUACGGGAAGGUUGUCCUCAGCUCCAAGCCUGCAGAAAGAGCUGUGUAGAGAGAGGGUCCCAGCCGUACUGCAUCAUCAGGUGCCAACUCAUGUGAGCAAAUGCCACCAGCGGGAGCCGAGGCAUCACAGUGCUCCUUUAAAGACAUUUCAGUAGCUCAAUUAACUUUCCACUUGGGUGUUUUCUUUCUCCCCACUUUGCUUUCAUGGUCAUUUAAAACAAAUAAAAUGAGCAGAACGUGGCGGUGUGAUAACCACCAUUUAAUUCCCUUCCCACGGGUCUCCAGAUUAUUUGGUGAUUCAGUGGCAGCAGGGGGAACAUUUAUGGAAGAGGAGGAGGGAGCUUCCCACAGGGGCAACAGCUCACAAAACGGGGCCCCUCAGCAUCCUGGGGGAGAAUCAUGCCACUGCUUCCCCUUAAAUGCCGUGGGUGUGGUGAAUGCAGCGCGAGAGCUGCAGCCUCGGAGCAGACACAGCUCCCCCACUUUUGUGGUGCUCCCAUUCUCACUGCCCUCGUUGUUCUCACGUUGUGAAGUGUGGAUGAGGACCAGUGUUCAGGAUACAUUUCACGCUUCUGUGCAAACACAAUAUGAGAUGAGGAAUUCUUACCCUUAGACAAGGAGACAAGAGUGUAUUUUCUCAUAAUAAGGAAAAGCAGCCAGAUUGGAGCCUGCCAAUUCCUCUUUAGUGCUCCCGACUUCCCUAGGAAGUUCAAACAAGCGUAUGCUUUUAAGCAGGCAGAGGGGAGUAUAUUAUAUUUUUUUAAAAAAUGACAAACCCUUUUAGAUAUUUUUUUACAGUAUUCUCCAGACCUCUGUCUUGGUUGGCGACUUCUCUGUCUGAUCGGCUGGGAGUGCAGUGGUGGUGCAGGAGAACACCGUGUGCUUUGUGUGCUUGUGAACAAUUAAUAGCAGUACGGCACUGCACUGAAGCAGCAUGUAAAACGCACCCCAGGAGGGGAACAUAACAGCUAGCCAGGCUGCUCUUGUUGUCCUGAAGGAAAACACAACGUGGGGGUUUACUCCUUCAUCAGCAGCAGUAAAUAACGGGUGCUCACCUUCAGUUCUCCUUCAGCCACUUCUUUAUCUCCCCAGCCCCUGCUCUGGCAAGGAAAAGACAUAUUUACUGUAGUUUUGUGUUUUUGUGGCUGUUCAGAUUUUAGCUUUGUUUUCUCCCUAAAAAGCAGUGUUUUCACAGCUUUGGCUUCAUCUCUCCCUCUGUCUGGAGUGCGUUCUGCCAAUCUGACACUGAAAAUUAGUCCUGAACCAUUUGCCUGAACCUGUCAACCCCACAUCACAACCACACAUUGUGUAUGCAGGUGGUUUGGCCUGGGAAGGAUGUAUAAUGCACGUUAGUCAUUUAAUACAUUUAUAAUCUAAUCUCUCAGCAUGACACAGUCAGCAGUUUUUCCUACCCCUUGUGCAGCACAUUGGUUUCCAUCCCUGCGUUAUCCUGUGCCAGGGGAAGGCACUGUCUCACCCAGCACCAAGCUGAAUAGCUCCAAAUUCCCUGUAGCAAAAGAUACAGCAACGUCAGCUCCUCUG
rnacentral:lncRNA from 1 species